rnacentral:rRNA from 1 species
AUAUCAAUAAGCGGAGGAAAAGAAACCAACUGGGAUUGCCUCAGUAACGGCGAGUGAAGCGGCAACAGCUCAAAUUUGAAAUCCAGAGUCUUCGGCUCUCGAGUUGUAAUUUGAAGAGGAUGUUUCGGUAGCGACCCCGGCCUAAGUUCCUUGGAACAGGACGUCACAGAGGGUGAGAAUCCCGUGUACGGCUGGCGGUUUGCCUCCAUGUGUAACUCCUUCGAAGAGUCGAGUUGUUUGGGAAUGCAGCUCAAAAUGGGUGGUAAAUUUCAUCUAAAGCUAAAUACUGGCGAGAGUCCGAUAGCGCACAAGUA